ensembl:lncRNA
CAGAAUUUGCGCAUUUGAAGGGAUUUCACAGGUCACAACAUAUUUAUCCAGCUUUGAAAGAUCAGAUCUUUUCAUUCAGGACCGACGUUAUCUCCUUAAACCGUCACUCCGAUGACAUGUAUGGGUACUGAGAAUGUUCUGUUAAAUAUUGCGAUAUAUCACAGAUUAUCAGCACAUGCCUACUUCACACAGAAUGGUAAAGCCAUUUAGGACUGAUGCUGCAACUGAAAGCUAGGAUUGAAGGACAGAUGGUACAAAAUUUUGACGCUGGACAAGCUCUAACAUCGUCCUGAUGAUCCUACUCUUUCAGUAGCUGUCCAUCCUUAAACAUACUGUCCCCUCUGAAAGUACUACUACUGUCCCCUACUGUAACUGCAAGGUCAACUCUUGGUUGUUAGUACUUGUCUGGUUGAUGAUACACCAGUGGUUUCAUCCUUUUUCAGGACAAUCCAAAUUGUUGUAUUGGCUAUGCCCAAUGUUUGUGCAAUGCCUCUGAUUGAUCUUCCUUUCUUUUUUCAGCUUCAAAAUGGCUUGCUUUCUCCCAUAGACAGCUCUCUGGUCUUCAUGUUGGUUUAUCCUUUUUAACGACAAAUGCAGUCUUCACAGGCAAAACCUUGGGCUCAAACCUAGACUAGACAUUCAGAGCUAUUCGUUCUUUAAACAGUCAAUCUAACGGGGCACACCUGGGCAACAAGAAACACCUGUCAGUCACAUAUUCCAGUAUUUUUUGGUGGGUUCAAACUAAAGGAGCCAUGUUCUAAGUUGUUUAAUACAUCUAGAUGUAAAUAUGAGGAAAUGAAAGCUGAAAUUCUGAUCUGUCGUCUUAUAUUCAUCUUUUGAUCUCAAACACAAAUUUAUUCAGUGUAUAGGGGGGGAACCCCAAAGUUUUGGCCUUGCCGUUCCAGUACGUUCAGAGCGGACUGUAAAGUCACUUCAAAUUUGUAAUACCAUUCUGGGUCCUGGGUCAGAUUGCCAUUGGCUCGGUUUCCUCAGGGCUUCUCUGCUCUGCUGCUCAUCACACUGCUGCUCCCCAUCACUCACCUUCUGCAUGACUGAUUCUGGUCCUCACACUGUACUCUACCGGUACAUGCUUUUCACUAAGAGCGGGGCAAUGAUGUGGAUUAGAAAUGAACUCCUAGUUCUCGAAAUAAAGAUUUUAUUCACUUUAUUCCAUAUAGACAUUUUUUUAACCGAUGAACAUUGAUAUUUGUACAAAAAAAUAAUAAUAAUAACAAUAAAAUAUGGGGUUAUUAAAAAAAGAGAGAGAAAUAUAUAGUUUAAAGAUAUUUAACAAAGGAUAAAUAUAUUCUAGAUAUGGAGCUCAAGAUGUUGUGUAUAGAGAAGGUGGAACAUGAGGAAGGUCUGUGGUCCAAGCUGCUUCUUCAAGCCUGGAUGGUUCCAAGUUUAAAGAAAAACAGCUCCACCCCCUUAGGAUACGAGGGAAGGACACAAGAAUGAGAUGCGGGGAGAGAGGUAUCGGAGCAAGUCCAGUGAAAUAUCCUCGCUCUCUCAAGCGUCACUUCACACCGACGUCAAUUAAUGAUGACUGUACUCAGUUGGAUGACCUCACUGCGCUUCAGGGAUCCGCCGUUAUGCUGUUGGAGCUCGGUGAAUGACAUUCUUAAUAAAGCUAAAUGCACUGAUAGUAUGUGAAAUGUCUGGGUUAUUCAAC